ACGAACGCUGGCGGCGUGCUUAACCCAUGCACGUCGAACGGAAAGGCCCUGCUUUUGUGGGGUGCUCGAGUGGCGAACGGGUGAGUAACACGUGAGUAACCUGCCCUUGACUUUGGGAUAACUUCAGGAAACUGGGGCUAAUACCGGAUAGGAGCUCCUGCUGCAUGGUGGGGGUUGGAAAGUUUCGGCGGUUGGGGAUGGACUCGCGGCUUAUCAGCUUGUUGGUGGGGUAGUGGCUUACCAAGGCUUUGACGGGUAGCCGGCCUGAGAGGGUGACCGGCCACAUUGGGACUGAGAUACGGCCCAGACUCCUACGGGAGGCAGCAGUGGGGAAUAUUGCACAAUGGGCGGAAGCCUGAUGCAGCAACGCCGCGUGCGGGAUGGCGGCCUUCGGGUUGUAAACCGCUUUCGCCUGUGACGAAGCGUGAGUGACGGUAAUGUGUAAAGAAGCACCGGCUAACUACGUG
rnacentral:rRNA from 1 species